rnacentral:rRNA from 1 species
CCUACGGGAGGCAGCAGUGAGGAAUAUUGGUCAAUGGGCGCGAGCCUGAACCAGCCAAGUCGCGUGAGGGAAGACGGCCCUACGGGUUGUAAACCUCUUUUGCCGGGGAGCAACGGGCGCCACGUGUGGCGCCACUGAGAGUACCCGGAGAAAAAGCAUCGGCUAACUCCGUGCCAGCAGCCGCGGUAAUCCGGAGGAUGCGAGCGUUAUCCGGUUUUAUUGGGUUUAAAGGGUGCGUAGGGGGAGCGUUAAGGCAGUGGGCAAAUUGCGGGGAUCAACCCCUUCCCGCCAUUGAAACUGGCGCUCUUGAGUGGAAGAGAAGUAUGCGGAAUGCGUGGUGUAGCGGUGAAAUGCAUAGAUAUCACGCAGAACCCCGAUGGCGAAGGCAGCAUGCCGGCUUCCUACUGACGCUGAAGCACGAAAGCGUGGGGAUCGAACAGGAUUAGAUACCCGAGUAGUC